GCUGGGCAUGGUGGUGCAUGCCUGCAAUCCCAGCUACUCAGGAGGCUGAGGCAGGAGAAUUGCCUGAAUCCAGGAGGCAGAGGUUCCAGUGAGCCAAGAUUGUGCCAUUGCACUCCAGCCUAAAAAACAAGAGCAAAAUGUUGCCUUAGGAAAAAAAAGACUUUUUUUUUUUUUCCGAGACGGAGUUUAGCUCUUGUUACCCAGGCUGGAGUGCAAUGGCGCGAUCUCGGCUCACGGCAACCUCCGCCACCUGGGUUCAGGCAAUUCUCCUGCCUCAG
rnacentral:SRP_RNA from 1 species